AUUGAACGCUGGCGGCAGGCCUAACACAUGCGAGUCGAACGGUAACAGGAAACAGCUUGCUGUUUCGCUGACGAGUGGCGGACGGGUGAGUAAUGUCUGGGAAACUGCCUGAUGGAGGGGGAUAACUACUGGAAACGGUAGCUAAUACCGCAUAACGUCGCAAGACCAAAGAGGGGGACCUUCGGGCCUCUUGCCAUCGGAUGUGCCCAGAUGGGAUUAGCUAGUAGGUGGGGUAACGGCUCACCUAGGCGACGAUCCCUAGCUGGUCUGAGAGGAUGACCAGCCACACUGGAACUGAGACACGGUCCAGACUCCUACGGGAGGCAGCAGUGGGGAAUAUUGCACAAUGGGCACAAGCCUGAUGCAGCCAUGCCGCGUGUAUGAAGAAGGCCUUCGGGUUGUAAAGUACUUUCAGCGGGGAGGAAGGGAGUAAAGUUAAUACCUUUACUCAUUGACGUUACCCGCAGAAGAAGCACCGGCUAACUCCGUG
rnacentral:rRNA from 1 species